AAUCAACGCUGGCGGCGUGCCUAACACAUGCAAGUCGAACGCGGUCACCCCGCAAGGGGUGACUGAGUGGCAAACGGGUGAGUAACGCGUGGGUGACCUACCUUCGAGUGGGGGAUAACGUUUCGAAAGGAACGCUAAUACCGCAUGACAUCCUGCCUUUGGACAGGCGGAGAUCAAAGCCGGGGAUCGCAAGACCUGGU
rnacentral:rRNA from 1 species